rnacentral:rRNA from 1 species
AUUGAACGCUGGCGGCAUGCUUUACACAUGCAAGUCGAACGGCAGCGCGGGCUUCGGCCUGGCGGCGAGUGGCGAACGGGUGAGUAAUACAACGGAACGUGCACAGGAGGGGGGGAUAGCUCGGCGAAAGCGGGAUUAAUAACGAAUACGACCUGAGGGUGAAAGCGGGGGAACUUCGGACCUGGCGCUAUUGGAGAGGCCGAUGGCAGAUUAGCUAGUUGGUGGGGGAAAGGCCUACUAAGGCGAUGACCUGUAGCUGGUCUGAGAGGACGACCAGCCACACUGGGACUGAGACACGGCCCAGACUCCUACGGGAGGCAGCAGUGGGGAAUUUUGGACGAUGGGCGAAAGCCUGAUCCAGCAAUGCCGCGUGUGUGAUGAAGGCCUUCGGGUUGUAAAGCGCUUUUGGCGGGAACGAAAAGGACUGUGCCAAUACCACGGUUCGAUGACGGUACCCGCAGAAUAAGCACCGGCUAACUACGUG